rnacentral:tRNA from 1 species
GCAGUGGUUCAGAGGUAGAGCAUCUGCUUGGGUUGGCAUGCAGAAAGUCCUGGUUUCAAUCCCCAGCAUCUCCA